rfam:Orchesella cincta Ocin01_Sc4225, whole genome shotgun sequence.
GGUCCAAUGGUCUAGAGGUAUGAUUCUCGCCUUGGGUGCGAGAGGUCCCGGGUUCAAAUCCCGGUUGGACCU